AGGUAAACGGGUGGGACCGCAAUGCGGUCGGUCAGACGGAUUCAACCGGGAGGGCGGCGCAGGUGGGGCGUCUCGGAGCCGACAAGGCCCGUGCGCUCCGCUCGCUUCUAGGGCGCCGCCUCCGAUUCCGGUGCACUUUCGUCGGGUCGACGGUCACGGCCGGCUCUCCGGUGGUCAGAAGCCGUGUUCGGGGGAAGGUGGACUCGGGCCUCGCGCCCGAAGAGCUUACAGCCCCCUGCACGCGCGGGCCCGUCGGAGGGCCGAGGAAGGGAAUCGCUCGCCGCGCUCCAUCUGCCCGUCGGGUCGCCUGCGUUCGGUUCAACCGGGGCUGGACUGGCUUGCCAGUGCUGUCU
rnacentral:rRNA from 1 species